AUUGAACGCUGGCGGCAUGCCUUACACAUGCAAGUCGAACGGAUCAGAGGAGCUUGCUCUUCUGGUUAGUGGCGAACGGGUGAGUAAUGCAUCGGAACGUACCCAGUAGUGGGGGAUAACGUAGCGAAAGUUACGCUAAUACCGCAUACGACCUGAGGGUGAAAGCAGGGGAUCGCAAGACCUUGCGCUAUUGGAGCGGCCGAGGUCGGAUUAGCUAGUUGGUAGGGUAAAAGCCUACCAAGGCGACGAUCCGUAGCUGGUCUGAGAGGACGACCAGCCACACUGGGACUGAGACACGGCCCAGACUCCUACGGGAGGCAGCAGUGGGGAAUUUUGGACAAUGGGGGAAACCCUGAUCCAGCCAUGCCGCGUGAGUGAAGAAGGCCUUCGGGUUGUAAAGCUCUUUCAGACGGAAAGAAAUCUUCCGGGCUAAUACCUCGAGAGGAUGACGGUGCCGUAAGAAGAAGCACCGGCUAACUACGUGCCAGCCGCCGCAGUAA
rnacentral:rRNA from 1 species